rnacentral:rRNA from 1 species
UGGGGAAUCUUGGACAAUGGGCGCAAGCCUGAUCCAGCCAUGCCGCGUGAGUGAAGAAGGCCUUCGGGUUGUAAAGCUCUUUUACCAGGGACGAUAAUGACGGUACCUGGAGAAUAAGCCCCGGCAAACUUCGUGCCAGCAGCCGCGGUAAUACGAAGGGGGCUAGCGUUGUUCGGAAUUACUGGGCGUAAAGCGCACGUAGGCGGAUUGUUAAGUCAGAGGUGAAAUCCCGGAGCUCAACUUCGGAACUGCCUUUGAUACUGGCAAUCUAGAGUCCGGAAGAGGUUAGUGGAAUUCCCAGUGUAGAGGUGAAAUUCGUAGAUAUUGGAGGAACACCGAUGGCGAAGGCAGCCCCCUGGGCUAACACUGACGCUCAUGCACGAAAGCGUGGGGAGCAAACAGGAUUAGAUACCCCGGUAGUCCAUGAGCGGGCUGGCAAGGCGCAU